rnacentral:rRNA from 1 species
CUUGAUAAACUUAUAAGAGGUCCAGCCUGCCCAGUGACUCUGUUCAACGGCCGCGGUAUCCUAACCGUGCGAAGGUAGCGUAAUCACUUGUUCUUUAAAUGAGGACUAGUAUGAAUGGCACCACGAAGGUUAUACUGUCUCCUUUUUCUAAUCAGUGAAACUAAUCUUCCCGUGAAGAAGCGGGAAUAAAAAUAUAAGACGAGAAGACCCUAUGGAGCUUUAAACAAAUAUACACCUGCCUUCCCACCAAAAAAAUUUCAGCAAACAAAUAAUUACCCAGGCAUUUUGAUAUAGCGUUUUAGGUUGGGGUGACCACGGAGCAAAAAACAACCUCCGCAACGAACGGGAAAUCUUUCCCUAAACCAAGGGCCACGACCCCAAGUAUCGAUAAAUCGACACUAAUUGACCCAAUAAAUUUGAUCAAUGAAC